GAUGAACGCUAGCGGCAGGCCUAAUACAUGCAAGUCGUGGGGCAGCAUGAGUAGCAAUACUUGAUGGCGACCGGCAAACGGGUGCGGAACACGUACGCAACCUUCCUUUAACUGGAGAAUAGCCCCUCGAAAGAGGGAUUAAUGCUCCGUAACAUAUAGAAAAGGCAUCUUUUUUAUAUUAUAGCUCCGGCGGUUAAAGAUGGGCGUGCGGCUGAUUAGGUAGUUGGUAGGGUAAUGGCCUACCAAGCCAACGAUCAGUAACUGGCGUGAGAGCGCG
rnacentral:rRNA from 1 species